GAUGAACGCUAGCGGCAGGCUUAACACAUGCAAGUCGAGGGGUAUAGUUCUUCGGAACUAGAGACCGGCGCACGGGUGCGUAACGCGUAUGCAAUCUACCUUUUGCAGAGGGAUAGCCCAGAGAAAUUUGGAUUAAUACCUCAUAGUAUGUGAGAAUGGCAUCAUUUUCACAUUAAAGUCACAACGGCAAAAGAUGAGCAUGCGUCCCAUUAGCUAGUUGGUAAGGUAACGGCUUACCAAGGCAACGAUGGGUAGGGGUCCUGAGAGGGAGAUCCACCACACUGGUACUGAGACACGGACCAGACUCCUACGGGAGGCAGCAGUGAGGAAUAUUGGACAAUGGGCGCAAGCCUGAUCCAGCCAUGCCGCGUGCAGGAUGACGGUCCUAUGGAUUGUAAACUUCUUUUGUAGGGGGAUAAAAAAGAGUACGUGUGCUCUCUUGUAGGUACCCUACGAAUAAGGAUCGGCUAACUCCGUGCCAGCCGCCGCAGUAACAC
rnacentral:rRNA from 1 species